GGGGAUUUAGCUCAGUUGGUAGAGUGCUUGCCUCUCAUGCACAAGAUCCUGGGUUCAAUCCCCAGCACCACUA
rnacentral:tRNA from 1 species